rnacentral:misc_RNA from 1 species
CAGUAUUACGUCCAGUGACGUCAUCACGUUGUGUACUCAAUCUUCAGUGACAUGGUACUCAUUCGCUGGGUUUAACAGGACACGAUUGCAUCUGGUGCAAUUUAAUCGGACAAGAUUUGUUCGUCUGUUGUUUCCAACACCGCUUCAAGAUGAUGCAAUUUAUGUUGCUGUUUAGUCGUCAGGGGAAAUUAAGAUUGCAGAAAUGGUAUGUUGCUCACCCAGACAAAGUAAAGAAGAAGAUUACCCGUGAGCUUGUCACUUUGGUUCUUGCCAGGAAACCAAAGAUGUGCAGCUUUCUGGAAUGGAAAGAUUUGAAAAUAGUUUAUAAAAGAUAUGCCAGCCUUUACUUCUGUUGUGCCAUUGAACCAGCUGACAAUGAAUUAUUAACACUUGAAAUCAUACACAGAUAUGUUGAAUUGCUUGAUAAAUAUUUUGGCAGCGUAUGUGAGCUUGACAUAAUCUUUAAUUUUGAAAAAGCUUACUUCAUGCUUGACGAGUUAAUGCUUGGCGGUGAAGUGCAGGAAACCAGCAAGAAAAAUGUGUUGAAGGCCAUUGCUGCACAGGACCUAUUACAAGAGUUGGGAGCUUCCACUAUAAAAGAUUUGUCAGGUAGUGGUAUAGUCUUGUACUACUGAUCAAGUGUAUUAAGACGUGAAGCUAAAAACUCUCAAGUUAGUUUAGACAUUUUAGAGGAGACACCCCAGGGGUUCUUUGAAGAUCAUGGUUUAGGUUGAGGCAUGACGUGCAUGAAACCAGUGUUUAAACAAAAAA